UACGUAGGGUGCGAGCGUUAAUCGGAAUUACUGGGCGUAAAGCGUGCGCAGGCGGUUCGUUGUGUCGGCGGUGAAAGCCCCGGGCUUAACCUGGGAAUGGCCGUUGAAACUGGCGAACUGGAGUGUGGCAGGAGGGGGUGGAAUUCCGCGUGUAGCAGUGAAAUGCGUAGAGAUGCGGAGGAACACCGAUGGCGAAGGCAGCCCCCUGGGCUAACACUGACGCUCAUGCACGAAAGCGUGGGGAGCAAACAGG
rnacentral:rRNA from 1 species